rnacentral:rRNA from 1 species
GAUGAACGCUGGUGGCGUGCCUAAUACAUGCAAGUCGAGCGAACAGACGAGGAGCUUGCUCCUCUGACGUUAGCGGCGGACGGGUGAGUAACACGUGGAUAACCUACCUAUAAGACUGGGAUAACUUCGGGAAACCGGAGCUAAUACCGGAUAAUAUAUUGAACCGCAUGGUUCAAUAGUGAAAGACGGUUUUGCUGUCACUUAUAGAUGGAUCCGCGCCGCAUUAGCUAGUUGGUAAGGUAACGGCUUACCAAGGCGACGAUGCGUAGCCGACCUGAGAGGGUGAUCGGCCACACUGGAACUGAGACACGGUCCAGACUCCUACGGGAGGCAGCAGUAGGGAAUCUUCCGCAAUGGGCGAAAGCCUGACGGAGCAACGCCGCGUGAGUGAUGAAGGUCUUCGGAUCGUAAAACUCUGUUAUUAGGGAAGAACAAAUGUGUAAGUAACUAUGCACGUCUUGACGGUACCUAAUCAGAAAGCCACGGCUAACUACGUG